rnacentral:rRNA from 1 species
AGAGUUUGAUCCUGGCUCAGGACGAACGCUGGCGGCGUGCUUAACACAUGCAAGUCGAACGGUAAGGCCCUUCGGGGUACACGAGUGGCGAACGGGUGAGUAACACGUGGGUAAUCUGCCCUGCACAUCGGGAUAAGCCUGGGAAACUGGGUCUAAUACCGAAUAGGACCACAGGACACAUGUCCUGUGGUGGAAAGCUUUUGCGGUGUGGGAUGGGCCCGCGGCCUAUCAGCUUGUUGGUGGGGUGAUGGCCUACCAAGGCGACGACGGGUAGCCGGCCUGAGAGGGUGUCCGGCCACACUGGGACUGAGAUACGGCCCAGACUCCUACGGGAGGCAGCAGUGGGGAAUAUUGCACAAUGGGCGAAAGCCUGAUGCAGCGACGCCGCGUGGGGGAUGACGGCCUUCGGGUUGUAAACCUCUUUCACCAUCGACGAAGGUCCGGGUUUUCUCGGGCUGACGGUAGGUGGAGAAGAAGCACCGGCCAACUACGUGCCAGCAGCCGCGGUAAUACGUAGGGUGCGAGCGUUGUCCGGAAUUACUGGGCGUAAAGAGCUCGUAGGUGGUUUGUCGCGUUGUUCGUGAAAUCUCACGGCUUAACUGUGAGCGUGCGGGCGAUACGGGCAGACUUGAGUACUGCAGGGGAGACUGGAAUUCCUGGUGUAGCGGUGGAAUGCGCAGAUAUCAGGAGGAACACCGGUGGCGAAGGCGGGUCUCUGGGCGGUAACUGACGCUGAGGAGCGAAAGCGUGGGGAGCGAACAGGAUUAGAUACCCUGGUAGUCC